rnacentral:RNase_P_RNA from 1 species
GUCUGAGGAAAGUCCGGACUCCCGAAAGACCAAACUUGCUGGGUAACGCCCAGUGCGAGCGAUCGUGAGGAUAGUGCCACAGAAAGAUACCGCCCAAGGGAGGGAUAAAACCCUUUCUUCGGUAAGGGUGCAAAGGUGCGGCAAGAGCGCACCAGCAGCAUCGAGAGGUGCUGGCUCGGUAAACCCCGGUUGGGAGCAAGGUCAAGGAACGAGGGUUGGUCUUUUUCCUGUUCUGUGUGAUGGCGGUGGACGACUGCCGCCAUAGAGAGCCGCUUGAGGUAUUUGGUAACAAAUGUCCCAGAUAGAUAACUGCCCUUUGAGUGCAUUGCACUUAGAGAACAGAACCCGGCUUAUGUCUGGCUCUUCUC